GUGGAUGGAGCUGCUGUCACCUACCACUGGCUUCUUCCCUGGAGGAUGGAUCUUUGCAAUGGAUCCACGCAAGCAGCGGGCGGAGUUGUGCUGGGGCUGGCAGAAGAAAGCGGGGAUCUGGAAGGGCAUCUCCUCGAGGCUAUCUCUGUUCCUCUUCGCUUCGUCGGUGAGUGAGCCGCCGGGCUGAGAAACAAUUGAUGCUCACGGGUUCCACCUGCGACGAUCCGGGAGCCGCGGCAGCGGAGUGCAUAGGGUGAGCAGAGUGAAGCGUAGAUGCCUCCAUUCUGCCGAAGCUGCGCCCGGGCGGGUCAGCGCCUGUCGACUUCACUGCGCGCAGCAAUUACUCGUCCUUCGCGCCGUCCGCCGCAAGGAUUGAUGGUCUGGCGACAAUGACUGAAUGGACAGCGCAAGUGCUCAUGUAGGCAGUGACAAAAAGAUAUAUCGAAAAUUAAAGCAAAUGGUAAAGGGAUGGAUAAUGGGUGCAGGUGUGAACAAAGUACCAGGUGAUCAACGAACAUGAAUCCUAUCUCAUAGAGUUCAUGCUGCUUGUUCAUGUUCUCCCACAUCGGUGUGAUGCGCACAACAGCAUACCUCGCAGAUCCUAAAGGUGAACAGUAAGUACAGACUAUUGGACAGAUCUAAGCCAGGAAAUAAGUGCAAACAAUCAGGAUCAGGGAAAACAACAGAGAUAUGUCAUGUGCAAACAACGAGCAAGGCAAUGAUGAACGGAAGAUCCACCCUGACCGAGAACACAAACUGAAGAAUCAGAAGUCUAAACACACACAGGCGAAGAAUGGUGAACAGAACCACCAGCCGGCAGAGGAACACCAGAGGCAGCAGUCAGAAAAGGAACAACCACAGCUGCGAAGCAAUGAGCAUGGCUAGCAGCGGCAGCGGGAACAACACUGUGGAGAUGAUGAUCCCGAUAUGGAGACGGAGAAACCGAAGAUGAAUGUGGUCGUACACGCCGACGAACAGGUCCCCGGUGUACACGUCGAACAGUCCGCAUAACAGCUGGAGAAUCAGAAGCAAGCAAGAUGGAAACCCCAGAUUGCAGAUGAUCGAAGCCACCGAAGACAUCGGCAGCAACGGAAUCAACAACUGGAGCACCAAGCAGAGGAUCCCUGGAACGUCCACGGGAACGCGAUGAGCAAGGUCCUGACGACCUGGAAGAUAGGUCACCGAGGCCACGACAGCGAUGGAGCGCCGAAGAUGGAGGCAAGGGCACGGACGUGCGAAGCCGGCGACAUGACGGAC